CUCAGACUUGGGCUCGAAGAUCUCCCUCCUGAGGGAAGAUUCUCUCUGAGGGUCUUUCAUUUGGGGGCUCGUCCGGGAUGGGAGAUCCUCUACCCAGAGACCACCAACCACCCACCGGGAGGUAAGCUGGCCAGCGUUUGUCUUGUCCUGUCUUGUCUUGCUUUGUGACUUGUUCUGUAAAUGCUUAGUUUCUUGGCUUGGGUCUAGACCGUUUGUAUUUGGGCGGGCCAGAGAAGGAGCUGACGAGCUCGGACUUCUCCCCCACAGCCCUGGAAGACGUUCCAAGGGUGUUUGGAGCCCGGUUUUCGGGGCUCAGCCCGUAUCAGAAGGAUACGUGGUUUUGGGUUAGAGGAGAAAGGAGAGAGCCGGAUCCACUGAACUUUUGGUUUCAGUUUGACACCGAAGCCGUGCGGCGAGUCUGUCUGUUGCUUGUUUGACUGUUAGAAUUGUCUUCUUUGUGUCCUAAUUUUCUUUGAACAUCUGUGGAAAUUGGUUAUAGGAUGCUUUGUCUUGGUCUUGUUUAUCUGGUUUGGUUUUUUUUUUUUUCUUUUUUUUUUUGGUAUUGUCUAGUAUCUUUUUGGCUUUUGUUUCGUUUUUGGACUUUGGACAAAUGACUAUGUUUGAAAUCUUGGACAGAUGACUGUGUUUAAAAUUAUGAAACUGUUUGCUUUGUUCGCCGAAGAGUUUUACUUGGUCCCCUUAAUGCUUAAUAAGAAACUUAAUUUUGUGAACCCCGCUCUAGUGGCGCUGUGUUGGUUGAUAGCCAAGGUUAAUUUUUAAAACAUAGUGUUUUAAACAAGAACAAGAAAGGAAUUACUGACAUUUCCUCACAGAAGGAGAGCACUCAUUAAGAGAAGUUCUUUAAAGAAGCCUGCCUUAUCUGCUGGCCUUAUUCCAAGGGAGGAGUCAGUCUCCGGCAUUAGAUUACUUUUCUCGUUGGUCAUCAUUAACAUGGAGAGUGCCUUUGAUCCUAUUCCACAGCAGCCAGUUCCUGCCCCUGUGGUCAAAAUACGCCCCAGGUGAACUGGUUACGAUUCUUUUGUCAGCCACCUGGCAUCUAGCACCCAGGUUCUAACCAUCUCUCUAUCCUAGUAGGGACAUCCUCCACUCUCUCUUCUGCUAUGUCUGCCAAGAUGAUGGGGAGACCCUGCCAAAUGGCACCAUCCCUAAGCAUACCCCAGUCCAGUACCUACUUCCCGAGGUCAAGCCCCAGGAUUCAGACAAGAUCUGCUGCCUCUCAAAAGGCCAGAAAGAAUGUUCCAGACAUGGAUAGAAGGCCCUCACUUCUGCCUGUUGGAUUCAUUACGCCUAAAGGUAGGGAGUGCUCCAGGUCUGCUGCCAGGCUCCAAGGGUGGGUCUCUGAGGGGCUAUAAAGUGCCCCACCAAUUUGGCUAAAGUAAAAAAAAAAGAUAUAAAGAAAAAAAUUACAGAAACUUGAAGGAUUCAGCUAAGUCAUUGAGAGAGUUGUUGUAAGUUGCAGAGAAAAUAAGGUUGAUAUAUGGUUCAGGGUCAGUGCACAAAAUUGGACAGCAACUAAUAGCUGUAGAAGAAGAUACAGACAGAGAGACUGAGGAAGAGAAAGAGGAAAGAAAGUAAAAAGAACAGGAAGCUAGAGAAAAAAAAAGAGACAAGAGAAGAACAUAUUCCGGCCACAGUAGUUAGAGAACCUAAGAAGAUGGUACCUGGCUAAAGAUCAGUGUGCCUAAUACGAAAAAAAAGGGACAGUGGGUCAGAGAAAGGUCAAGAAAGAACAAGAGGGACAACUGGAGAGCUUCUUGGUCCUAGAGUGCUGGCUAUAUACAGAGAUAGAAGGGAAGUGUGGAUACAGGGACCCAAUGCGCCGUGCUCCUAUGCCCCCCCCCCAGUGGGCCAAUAACCGAAGACCUUGAGUACAAGGGGCUACUGACAACGAACAAUACUUAUGGACUGCCCGAAGAACAGUGGACCUUGGUGUGGGCCGGUUAACCCACCCACUAGCUCAUGGUCAUCCCUGACUGCCCCUAUCCCUUGCUCAUGAAAAAUUUGCUCUCCAAAAUGGCUUGCGUGGGCUAAAAUGGCUGGGUGAGCCCAUGUGUAUACAUAUCUACAGACUGUAUAUGUGGAGCUUAAGACCUGUCUCAGUGCACCAGUACCUGAUAAUGAGAGAUGUGUUUGUGGCUUAGUGCCGUUCUGCCUGGAACACAUCAUUCCUGCCAGCCGGACUCUGACAAUUAUCACCCAAUCCAGGACUUAAACUGUGAUAGAGUGGCUGAUGUUUUGCCUUUGAAUAGAACGUCCCAAAAGAUGGGACCACUGGUCAGCUGCCAUGGACUAGAUUUUCCACCGGUUGGGGACAAUCUGGUCACCUUGCUGCCCAAUCCUGACCUGGAGCCACCACAACACGAGUGUCAAGCCCUGGCAGAAGCCCAUGGGUGGUCUGCGACUGGCUGAUUGACCCCUGCUGAAAGCCGAGGACCUUGUCCACAGACGGGAACAGUUCUCCUCAUGAAUGAAGGUCACAGAUAAGUGGGUGCUGCCAUGGUGGACAACACGAUGUCAUCUGGGAUGGCUGAACUUCUAUCCCCCCAGCACACAUCAGUGUGACAGAUGCCUUUGCCAUCUCUUGGAUGCCCUGGUGAAGCCAACAACUGUGAGUACUAUUCAUUGCUGAGAAUAUCAGGAAAGAAGAGAUUCAGUGGCAGAUAAAGUGGCUCGAAAAAUGGCUAUGCAGGAGCCUAUCCUGGUUACAGGCCUACAAGAUACAGCCACUGAGAACUAGGAUCGGACUAAGGGAUGGCCUCACUUAGAAAAGGCCCAAAUUGCUUAAAAGAAAAAGGACAAUGGCACACUUGAGGGAAAGCUAUACUCCCCAGAGAACAAAGAAAAGACUCAUUUUGCCAAAUACAGAAAUGGACUCAUUUAAGAGAUAAAAAGUUUGUCCAAAUAGCUAAGAUAUAUAUAAUAGACUUUAAGAUUUUAGCCAGAGAGAAAAAAAAAAUAUAUAUAUAUGUAUGGUAUGUCAGUAGUAAAUGCUUAACAAGCAAACAGGGCAAAGAGACCUAGAGAGUUUAAUAAAAAGUCAAAGUAAAUUUCACUGACAUAAAACCAGAAAAAUAGUGCUUGUAGAUACUUUUUCAGGAAUAGAUAGAAGCUUUCCUCACCAAAUGAGAGACGGCCUCUACAAUCAUCAAGCAGACAACGGCCCUACUUUUGUUGCCAAGGUAAGCCAGGGUGUGGCCAAGUAUUUAGAGGUCGAUUAAAAAUUACAUUAUAUUUACAGACCUCAAAGUUCAAGACAGGUAAAAUAAAUAAAUAAAACUCUAAAAGAGACCCUGACCAAAUUAAAUUGACCAUGGAGACUGGCCCAGACUGAGUGACACUCCUUCCCACUUGCUCUCCUCAGAGCAAAAAAAAAAUACCCCUUCCAGAUUCAGCGUUACCCCCUUUGAGAUCUUAUAUGGGGCCUCAGCUCCCCUGACUGUGUUAGAUGAUGUUACUGAACCAGCAUGCCAUAGUAAUAAUGAUUUUAUAUGCCAGGCUAAAAGACCUACAGGUGAUACAGAAAGAAAUCUGCUCACAGCUGACAGCAGCCUAUGCCCGGGGACCCCUGAGACAUCUCAUCAGUUCCAGGUCGGAGACUGUAGCUACAUACAAUGACACGGAGCCCAGACACUCGAUAAAAAGGAUCGUACCUGGUGCUGCUGACCACCCUGACAGCCGUCAAUUCUCAGCCCUCACCAGCUGCAUACUAGCUGUUGGGGCUGAGAGGUGAGAGCUAGAGGGACACUCAGAUCUUCAAAAGGCUCCCUAGACUUACACAUCAGAUAAGUGACUGAGAGACUGUUAUAAUGCUCACUUAAAGAGUGUGCUUUAAAAACAAGAAUUUCAUGUUUGCCCUGGGUUCCAUCGAGAAAAAUAUAGAGAUAGGCUUAAUUUCUAUUACAAAUGAUAUAACAUUACAUAUGUUAAUACAUCUUGAUAUCAGAAUUCUAAGAUUAGAAUUACUUAGUAGAAGAAGAGGGGAAUGAAGGACCCCAGCCUAAUAGCAGUAACAGAAAGACCCCAGCCUAGCAGUAGUAAUGCCAUUUUACAAGGCUAUAUUUAGGAAGACUGGUUCAGGGAAAGGUCAGAACACCGAGUACACAGCGGCUGCCAUGCAGGAUAUGUGUGGAGAGCCUAGCGACAGGAUGAUUGUGGUUGAGCGCCUGACAAUGAGAAAGAAAUGUAGAAAGCCCCGGGAGAGGUCCCACACCCUGGUGGGAGGCCGAGUCAGCCAUUAUGUUCCAAGAACACACUAUAGAGAACUUGCCCCCGGGCUGACCCCUGUAACCAUGCAUCUGCUUCUGUAUGCUUGCUUCUGCUUCCCAGAACCCUAUAAAAAGCCCAUCCUUGGUUCUGCUAGGCGCGUCAGUCUUCUGAAUUGACUGAGACGCCCACAGAUAUCUGUGUAUCUUGGUCAAUAAAAAUCCUCUUGCUGAUUGCAGCCUGUGGACUCAGACUUGGGCUCGAAGAUCUCCCUCCUGAGGGAAGAUUCUCUCUGAGGGUCUUUCAUUUGGGGGCUCGUCCGGGAUGGGAGAUCCUCUACCCAGAGACCACCGACCACCCACCGGGAGGUAAGCUGGCCAGCGUUUGUCUUGUCCUGUCUUGUCUUGCUUUGUGACUUGUUCUGUAAAUGCUUAGUUUCUUGGCUUGGGUCUAGACCGUUUGUAUUUGGGCGGGCCAGAGAAGGAGCUGACGAGCUCGGACUUCUCCCCCACAGCCCUGGAAGACGUUCCAAGGGUGUUUGGAGCCCGGUUUUCGGGGCUCAGCCCGUAUCAGAAGGAUACGUGGUUUUGGGUUAGAGGAGAAAGGAGAGAGCCGGAUCCACUGAACUUUUGGUUUCAGUUUGACACCGAAGCCGUGCGGCGAGUCUGUCUGUUGCUUGUUUGACUGUUAGAAUUGUCUUCUUUGUGUCCUAAUUUUCUUUGAACAUCUGUGGAAAUUGGUUAUAGGAUGCUUUGUCUUGGUCUUGUUUAUCUGGUUUGGUAUUUUUUUUCUUUUUUUUUUUGGUAUUGUCUAGUAUCUUUUUGGCUUUUGUUUCGUUUUUGGACUUUGGACAAAUGACUAUGUUUGAAAUCUUGGACUGAUGACUGUGUUUAAAAUUAUGAAACUGUUUGCUUUGUUCGCCGAAGAGUUUUACUUGGUCCCCUUAAUGCUUAAUAAGAAACUUAAUUUUGUGAACCCCGCUCUAGUGGCGCUGUGUUGGUUGAUAGCCAAGGUUAAUUUUUAAAACAUAGUGUUUUAAACAAGAACAAGAAAGGAAUUACUGACAUUUCCUCACAGAAGGAGAGCACUCAUUAAGAGAAGUUCUUUAAAGAAGCCUGCCUUAUCUGCUGGCCUUAUUCCAAGGGAGGAGUCAGUCUCCGGCAUUAGAUUACUUUUCUCGUUGGUCAUCAUUAACAUGGAGAGUGCCUUUGAUCCUAUUCCACAGCAGCCAGUUCCUGCCCCUGUGGUCAAAAUACGCCCCAGGUGAACUGGUUACGAUUCUUUUGUCAGCCACCUGGCAUCUAGCACCCAGGUUCUAACCAUCUCUCUAUCCUAGUAGGGACAUCCUCCACUCUCUCUUCUGCUAUGUCUGCCAAGAUGAUGGGGAGCCCCUGCCAAAUGGCGCCAUCCCUAAGCAUACCCCAGUCCAGUACCUACUUCCCGAGGUCAAGCCCCAGGACUCAGACAAGAUCUGCUGCCUCUCAAAAGAAAGAACGUUCCAGACAUGGAUAGAAGGCCCUCACUUCUGCCUGUUGGAUUCAUUACGCCUAAAGGUAGGGAGUGCUCCAGGUCUGCUGCCAGGCUCCAAGGGUGGGUCUCUGAGGGGCUAUAAAGUGCCCCACCAAUUUGGCUAAAGUAAAAAAAAAAGAUAUAAAGAAAAAGUUACAGAAACUUGAAGGAUUCAGCUAAGUCACUGAGAGAGUUGUUGUAAGUUGCAGAGAAAAUAAGGUUGAUAUAUGGUUCAGGGUCAGUGCACAAAAUUGGACAGCAACUUAUAGCUGUAGAAGAAGAUACAGACAGAGAGACUGAGGAAGAGAAAGAGGAAAGAAAGUAAAAAGAACAGGAAGCUAGAGAAAAAAAAAGAGACAAGAGAAGAACAUAUUCCGGCCACAGUAGUUAGAGAACCUAAGAAGAUAGUACCUGGUUAAAGAUCAGUGUGCCUAAUACGAAAAAAAAGGGACAGUGGGUCAGAGAAAGGUCAAGAAAGAACAAGAGGGACCACUGGAGAGCUUCUUGGUCCUAGAGUGCUGGCUAUAUACAGAGAUAGAAGGGAAGUGUGGAUACAGGGACCCAAUGCGCCGUGCUCCUAUGCCCCCCCCCCAGUGGGCCAAUAACCAAAGAACUUGAGUACAAGGGGCUACUGACAACGAACAAUACUUAUGGACUGCCCGAAGAACAGUGGACCUUGGUGUGGGCCGGUUAACCCACCCACUAGCUCAUGGUCAUCCCUGACUGCCCCUAUCCCUUGCUCAUGAAAAAUUUGCUCUCCAAAAUGGCUUGCGUGGGCUAAAAUGGCUGGGUGAGCCCAUGUGUAUACAUAUCUACAGACUGUAUAUGUGGAGCUUAAGACCUGUCUCAGUGCACCAGUACCUGAUAAUGAGAGAUGUGUUUGUGGCUUAGUGCCGUUCUGCCUGGAACACAUCAUUCCUGCCAGCCGGACUCUGACAAUUAUCACCCAAUCCAGGACUUAAACUGUGAUAGAGUGGCUGAUGUUUUGCCUUUGAAUAGAACGUCCCAAAAGAUGGGACCACUGGUCAGCUGCUAUGGACUAGAUUCUCCACCGGUUGGGGACAAUCUGGUCACCUUGCUGCCCAAUCCUGACCUGGAGCCACCACAACACGAGUGUCAAGCCCUGGCAGAAGCCCAUGGGUGGUCUGCGACUGGCUGAUUGACCCCUGCUGAAAGCCGAGGACCUUGUCCACAGACGGGAACAGUUCUCCUCAUUAAUGAAGGUGGUCACAGAUAAGUGGGUGCUGCCAUGGUAGACAACACGAUGUCAUCUGGGAAGGCUGAACUUCUAUCCCCCCAGCACACAUCAGUGUGACAGAUGCCUUUGCCAUCUCUUGGAUGCCCUGGUGAAGCCAACAACUGUGAGUACUAUUCAUUGCUGAGAAUAUCAGGAAAGAAGAGAUUCAGUGGCAGAUAAAGUGGCUCGAAAAAUGGCUAUGCAGGAGCCUAUCCUGGUUACAGGCCUACAAGAUACAGCCACUGAGAACUAGGAUCGGACUAAGGGAUGGCCUCACUUAGAAAAGGCCCAAAUUGCUUAAAAGAAAAAGGACAAUGGCACACUUGAGGGAAAGCUAUACUCCCCAGAGAACAAAGAAAAGACUCAUUUUGCCAAAUACAGAAAUGGACUCAUUUAAGAGAUAAAAAGUUUGUCCAAAUAGCUAAGAUAUAUAUAAUAGACUUUAAGAUUUUAGCCAGAGAGAAAAAAAAAUAUAUAUAUAUAUGUAUGGUAUGUCAGUAGUAAAUGCUUAACAAGCAAACAGGGCAAAGAGACCUAGAGAGUUUAAUAAAAAGUCAAAGUAAAUUUCACUGACAUAAAACCAGAAAAAUAGUGCUUGUAGAUACUUUUUCAGGAAUAGAUAGAAGCUUUCCUCACCAAAUGAGAGACGGCCUCUACAAUCAUCAAGCAGACAACGGCCCUACUUUUGUUGCCAAGGUAAGCCAGGGUGUGGCCAAGUAUUUAGAGGUCGAUUAAAAAUUACAUUAUAUUUACAGACCUCAAAGUUCAAGACAGGUAAAAUAAAUAAAUAAAACUCUAAAAGAGACCCUGACCAAAUUAAAUUGACCAUGGAGACUGGCCCAGACUGAGUGACACUCCUUCCCACUUGCUCUCCUCAGAGCAAAAAAAAAAUACCCCUUCCAGAUUCAGCGUUACCCCCUUUGAGAUCUUAUAUGGGGCCUCAGCUCCCCUGACUGUGUUAGAUGAUGUUACUGAACCAGCAUGCCAUAGUAAUAAUGAUUUUAUAUGCCAGGCUAAAAGACCUACAGGUGAUACAGAAAGAAAUCUGCUCACAGCUGACAGCAGCCUAUGCCCGGGGACCCCUGAGAUAUCUCAUCAGUUCCAGGUCGGAGACUGUAGCUACAUAUAAUGACACGGAGCCCAGACACUCAAUAAAAAGGAUCGUACCUGGUGCUGCUGACCACCCUGACAGCCGUCAAUUCUCAGCCCUCACCAGCUGCAUACUAGCUGUUGGGGCUGAGAGGUGAGAGCUAGAGGGACACUCAGAUCUUCAAAAGGCUCCCUAGACUUACACAUCAGAUAAGUGACUGAGAGACUGUUAUAAUGCUCACUUAAAGAGUGUGCUUUAAAAACAAGAAUUUCAUGUUUGCCCUGGGUUCCAUCGAGAAAAAUAUAGAGAUAGGCUUAAUUUCUAUUACAAAUGAUAUAACAUUACAUAUGUUAAUACAUCUUGAUAUCAGAAUUCUAAGAUUAGAAUUACUUAGUAGAAGAAGAGGGGAAUGAAGGACCCCAGCCUAAUAGCAGUAACAGAAAGACCCCAGCCUAGCAGUAGUAAUGCCAUUUUACAAGGCUAUAUUUAGGAAGACUGGUUCAGGGAAAGGUCAGAACACCGAGUACACAGCGGCUGCCAUGCAGGAUAUGUGUGGAGAGCCUAGCGACAGGAUGAUUGUGGUUGAGCGCCUGACAAUGAGAAAGAAAUGUAGAAAGCCCCGGGAGAGGUCCCACACCCUGGUGGGAGGCCGAGUCAGCCAUUAUGUUCCAAGAACACACUAUAGAGAACUUGCCCCCGGGCUGACCCCUGUAACCAUGCAUCUGCUUCUGUAUGCUUGCUUCUGCUUCCCAGAACCCUAUAAAAAGCCCAUCCUUGGUUCUGCUAGGCGCGUCAGUCUUCUGAAUUGACUGAGACGCCCACAGAUAUCUGUGUAUCUUGGUCAAUAAAAAUCCUCUUGCUGAUUGCAGCCUGUGGACUCAGACUUGGGCUCGAAGAUCUCCCUCCUGAGGGAAGAUUCUCUCUGAGGGUCUUUCAUUUGGGGGCUCGUCCGGGAUGGGAGAUCCUCUACCCAGAGACCACCGACCACCCACCGGGAGGUAAGCUGGCCAGCGUUUGUCUUGUCCUGUCUUGUCUUGCUUUGUGACUUGUUCUGUAAAUGCUUAGUUUCUUGGCUUGGGUCUAGACCGUUUGUAUUUGGGCGGGCCAGAGAAGGAGCUGACGAGCUCGGACUUCUCCCCCACAGCCCUGGAAGACGUUCCAAGGGUGUUUGGAGCCCGGUUUUCGGGGCUCAGCCCGUAUCAGAAGGAUACGUGGUUUUGGGUUAGAGGAGAAAGGAGAGAGCCGGAUCCACUGAACUUUUGGUUUCAGUUUGACACCGAAGCCGUGCGGCGAGUCUGUCUGUUGCUUGUUUGACUGUUAGAAUUGUCUUCUUUGUGUCCUAAUUUUCUUUGAACAUCUGUGGAAAUUGGUUAUAGGAUGCUUUGUCUUGGUCUUGUUUAUCUGGUUUGGUUUUUUUUUUUUUUCUUUUUUUUUUUUUGGUACUGUCUAGUAUCUUUUUGGCUUUUGUUUCGUUUUUGGACUUUGGACAAAUGACUAUGUUUGAAAUCUUGGACUGAUGACUGUGUUUAAAAUUAUGAAACUGUUUGCUUUGUUCGCCGAAGAGUUUUACUUGGUCCCCUUAAUGCUUAAUAAGAAACUUAAUUUUGUGAACCCCGCUCUAGUGGCGCUGUGUUGGUUGAUAGCCAAGGUUAAUUUUUAAAACAUAGUGUUUUAAACAAGAACAAGAAAGGAAUUACUGACAUUUCCUCACAGAAGGAGAGCACUCAUUAAGAGAAGUUCUUUAAAGAAGCCUGCCUUAUCUGCUGGCCUUAUUCCAAGGGAGGAGUCAGUCUCCGGCAUUAGAUUACUUUUCUCGUUGGUCAUCAUUAACAUGGAGAGUGCCUUUGAUCCUAUUCCACAGCAGCCAGUUCCUGCCCCUGUGGUCAAAAUACGCCCCAGGUGAACUGGUUACGAUUCUUUUGUCAGCCACCUGGCAUCUAGCACCCAGGUUCUAACCAUCUCUCUAUCCUAGUAGGGACAUCCUCCACUCUCUCUUCUGCUAUGUCUGCCAAGAUGAUGGGGAGACCCUGCCAAAUGGCACCAUCCCUAAGCAUACCCCAGUCCAGUACCUACUUCCCGAGGUCAAGCCCCAGGAUUCAGACAAGAUCUGCUGCCUCUCAAAAGGCCAGAAAGAAUGUUCCAGACAUGGAUAGAAGGCCCUCACUUCUGCCUGUUGGAUUCAUUACGCCUAAAGGUAGGGAGUGCUCCAGGUCUGCUGCCAGGCUCCAAGGGUGGGUCUCUGAGGGGCUAUAAAGUGCCCCACCAAUUUGGCUAAAGUAAAAAAAAAAAGAUAUAAAGAAAAAAUUACAGAAACUUGAAGGAUUCAGCUAAGUCAUUGAGAGAGUUGUUGUAAGUUGCAGAGAAAAUAAGGUUGAUAUAUGGUUCAGGGUCAGUGCACAAAAUUGGACAGCAACUAAUAGCUGUAGAAGAAGAUACAGACAGAGAGACUGAGGAAGAGAAAGAGGAAAGAAAGUAAAAAGAACAGGAAGCUAGAGAAAAAAAAAGAGACAAGAGAAGAACAUAUUCCGGCCACAGUAGUUAGAGAACCUAAGAAGAUGGUACCUGGCUAAAGAUCAGUGUGCCUAAUACGAAAAAAAAGGGAUAGUGGGUCAGAGAAAGGUCAAGAAAGAACAAGAGGGACCACUGGAGAGCUUCUUGGUCCUAGAGUGCUGGCUAUAUACAGAGAUAGAAGGGAAGUGUGGAUACAGGGACCCAAUGCGCCGUGCUCCUAUGCCCCCCCCCCAGUGGGCCAAUAACCGAAGACCUUGAGUACAAGGGGCUACUGACAACGAACAAUACUUAUGGACUGCCCGAAGAACAGUGGACCUUGGUGUGGGCCGGUUAACCCACCCACUAGCUCAUGGUCAUCCCUGACUGCCCCUAUCCCUUGCUCAUGAAAAAUUUGCUCUCCAAAAUGGCUUGCGUGGGCUAAAAUGGCUGGGUGAGCCCAUGUGUAUACAUAUCUACAGACUGUAUAUGUGGAGCUUAAGACCUGUCUCAGUGCACCAGUACCUGAUGCUGAGAGAUGUGUUUGUGGCUUAGUGCCGUUCUGCCUGGAACACAUCAUUCCUGCCAGCCGGACUCUGACAAUUAUCACCCAAUCCAGGACUUAAACUGUGAUAGAGUGGCUGAUGUUUUGCCUUUGAAUAGAACGUCCCAAAAGAUGGGACCACUGGUCAGCUGCCAUGGACUAGAUUUUCCACCAGUUGGGGACAAUCUGGUCACCUUGCUGCCCAAUCCUGACCUGGAGCCACCACAACACGAGUGUCAAGCCCUGGCAGAAGCCCAUGGGUGGUCUGCGACUGGCUGAUUGACCCCUGCUGAAAGCCGAGGACCUUGUCCACAGACGGGAACAGUUCUCCUCAUGAAUGAAGGUCACAGAUAAGUGGGUGCUGCCAUGGUAGACAACACGAUGUCAUCUGGGAUGGCUGAACUUCUAUCCCCCCAGCACACAUCAGUGUGACAGAUGCCUUUGCCAUCUCUUGGAUGCCCUGGUGAAGCCAACAACUGUGAGUACUAUUCAUUGCUGAGAAUAUCAGGAAAGAAGAGAUUCAGUGGCAGAUAAAGUGGCUCGAAAAAUGGCUAUGCAGGAGCCUAUCCUGGUUACAGGCCUACAAGAUACAGCCACUGAGAACUAGGAUCGGACUAAGGGAUGGCCUCACUUAGAAAAGGCCCAAAUUGCUUAAAAGAAAAAGGACAAUGGCACACUUGAGGGAAAGCUAUACUCCCCAGAGAACAAAGAAAAGACUCAUUUUGCCAAAUACAGAAAUGGACUCAUUUAAGAGAUAAAAAGAUUGUCCAAAUAGCUAAGAUAUAUAUAAUAGACUUUAAGAUUUUAGCCAGAGAGAAAAAAAAAUAUAUAUAUAUGUAUGGUAUGUCAGUAGUAAAUGCUUAACAAGCAAACAGGGCAAAGAGACCUAGAGAGUUUAAUAAAAAGUCAAAGUAAAUUUCACUGACAUAAAACCAGAAAAAUAGUGCUUGUAGAUACUUUUUCAGGAAUAGAUAGAAGCUUUCCUCACCAAAUGAGAGACGGCCUCUACAAUCAUCAAGCAGACAACGGCCCUACUUUUGUUGCCAAGGUAAGCCAGGGUGUGGCCAAGUAUUUAGAGGUCGAUUAAAAAUUACAUUAUAUUUACAGACCUCAAAGUUCAAGACAGGUAAAAUAAAUAAAUAAAACUCUAAAAGAGACCCUGACCAAAUUAAAUUGACCAUGGAGACUGGCCCAGACUGAGUGACACUCCUUCCCACUUGCUCUCCUCAGAGCAAAAAAAAAUACCCCUUCCAGAUUCAGCGUUACCCCCUUUGAGAUCUUAUAUGGGGCCUCAGCUCCCCUGACUGUGUUAGAUGAUGUUACUGAACCAGCAUGCCAUAGUAAUAAUGAUUUUAUAUGCCAGGCUAAAAGACCUACAGGUGAUACAGAAAGAAAUCUGCUCACAGCUGACAGCAGCCUAUGCCCGGGGACCCCUGAGACAUCUCAUCAGUUCCAGGUCGGAGACUGUAGCUACAUAUAAUGACACGGAGCCCAGACACUCGAUAAAAAGGAUCGUACCUGGUGCUGCUGACCACCCUGACAGCCGUCAAUUCUCAGCCCUCACCAGCUGCAUACUAGCUGUUGGGGCUGAGAGGUGAGAGCUAGAGGGACACUCAGAUCUUCAAAAGGCUCCCUAGACUUACACAUCAGAUAAGUGACUGAGAGACUGUUAUAAUGCUCACUUAAAGAGUGUGCUUCAAAAACAAGAAUUUCAUGUUUGCCCUGGGUUCCAUCGAGAAAAAUAUAGAGAUAGGCUUAAUUUCUAUUACAAAUGAUAUAACAUUACAUAUGUUAAUACAUCUUGAUAUCAGAAUUCUAAGAUUAGAAUUACUUAGUAGAAGAAGAGGGGAAUGAAGGACCCCAGCCUAAUAGCAGUAACAGAAAGACCCCAGCCUAGCAGUAGUAAUGCCAUUUUACAAGGCUAUAUUUAGGAAGACUGGUUCAGGGAAAGGUCAGAACACCGAGUACACAGCGGCUGCCAUGCAGGAUAUGUGUGGAGAGCCUAGCGACAGGAUGAUUGUGGUUGAGCGCCUGACAAUGAGAAAGAAAUGUAGAAAGCCCCGGGAGAGGUCCCACACCCUGGUGGGAGGCCGAGUCAGCCAUUAUGUUCCAAGAACACACUAUAGAGAACUUCCCCCCGGGCUGACCCCUGUAACCAUGCAUCUGCUUCUGUAUGCUUGCUUCUGCUUCCCAGAACCCUAUAAAAAGCCCAUCCUUGGUUCUGCUAGGCGCGUCAGUCUUCUGAAUUGACUGAGACGCCCACAGAUAUCUGUGUAUCUUGGUCAAUAAAAAUCCUCUUGCUGAUUGCAGCCUGUGGACUCAGACUUGGGCUCGAAGAUCUCCCUCCUGAGGGAAGAUUCUCUCUGAGGGUCUUUCAUUUGGGGGCUCGUCCGGGAUGGGAGAUCCUCUACCCAGAGACCACCGACCACCCACCGGGAGUAGGGACAUCCUCCACUCUCUCUACUGCUAUGUCUGCCAAGAUGAUGGGGAGCCCCUGCCAAAUGGCGCCAUCCCUAAGCAUACCCCAGUCCAGUACCUACUUCCCGAGGUCAAGCCCCAGGACUCAGACAAGAUCUGCUGCCUCUCAAAAGGCCAGAAAGAAUGUUCCAGACAUGGAUAGAAGGCCCUCACUUCUGCCUGUUGGAUUCAUUACGCCUAAAGGUAGGGAGUGCUCCAGGUCUGCUGCCAGGCUCCAAGGGUGGGUCUCUGAGGGACUAUAAAGUGCCCCACCAAUUUGGCUAAAGUAAAAAAAAAAGAUAUAAAGAAAAAGUUACAGAAACUUGAAAGAUUCAGCUAAGUCACUGAGAGAGUUGUUGUAAGUUGCAGAGAAAAUAAGGUUGAUAUAUGGUUCAGGGUCAGUGCACAAAAUUGGACAGCAACUAAUAGCUGUAGAAGAAGAUACAGACAGAGAGACUGAGGAAGAGAAAGAGGAAAGAAAGUAAAAAGAACAGGAAGCUAGAGAAAAAAAAAGAGACAAGAGAAGAACAUAUUCCGGCCACAGUAGUUAGAGAACCUAAGAAGAUGGUACCUGGCUAAAGAUCAGUGUGCCUAAUACGAAAAAAAAGGGAUAGUGGGUCAGAGAAAGGUCAAGAAAGAACAAGAGGGACCACUGGAGAGCUUCUUGGUCCUAGAGUGCUGGCUAUAUACAGAGAUAGAAGGGAAGUGUGGAUACAGGGACCCAAUGCGCCGUGCUCCUAUGCCCCCCCCCAGUGGGCCAAUAACCAAAGAACUUGAGUACAAGGGGCUACUGACAACGAACAAUACUUAUGGACUGCCCGAAGAACAGUGGACCUUGGUGUGGGCCGGUUAACCCACCCACUAGCUCAUGGUCAUCCCUGACUGCCCCUAUCCCUUGCUCAUGAAAAAUUUGCUCUCCAAAAUGGCUUGCGUGGGCUAAAAUGGCUGGGUGAGCCCAUGUGUAUACAUAUCUACAGACUGUAUAUGUGGAGCUUAAGACCUGUCUCAGUGCACCAGUACCUGAUGCUGAGAGAUGUGUUUGUGGCUUAGUGCCGUUCUGCCUGGAACAUAUCAUUCCUGCCAGCCGGACUCUGACAAUUAUCACCCAAUCCAGGACUUAAACUGUGAUAGAGUGGCUGAUGUUUUGCCUUUGAAUAGAACGUCCCAAAAGAUGGGACCACUGGUCAGCUGCCAUGGACUAGAUUCUCCACCUGUUGGGGACAAUCUGGUCACCUUGCUGCCCAAUCCUGACCUGGAGCCACCACAACACGAGUGUCAAGCCCUGGCAGAAGCCCAUGGGUGGUCUGCGACUGGCUGAUUGACCCCUGCUGAAAGCCGAGGACCUUGUCCACAGACGGGAACAGUUCUCCUCAUGAAUGAAGGUCACAGAUAAGUGGGUGCUGCCAUGGUAGACAACACGAUGUCAUCUGGGAUGGCUGAACUUCUAUCCCCCCAGCACACAUCAGUGUGACAGAUGCCUUUGCCAUCUCUUGGAUGCCCUGGUGAAGCCAACAACUGUGAGUACUAUUCAUUGCUGAGAAUAUCAGGAAAGAAGAGAUUCAGUGGCAGAUAAAGUGGCUCGAAAAAUGGCUAUGCAGGAGCCUAUCCUGGUUACAGGCCUACAAGAUACAGCCACUGAGAACUAGGAUCGGACUAAGGGAUGGCCUCACUUAGAAAAGGCCCAAAUUGCUUAAAAGAAAAAGGACAAUGGCACACUUGAGGGAAAGCUAUACUCCCCAGAGAACAAAGAAAAGACUCAUUUUGCCAAAUACAGAAAUGGACUCAUUUAAGAGAUAAAAAGUUUGUCCAAAUAGCUAAGAUAUAUAUAAUAGACUUUAAGAUUUUAGCCAGAGAGAAAAAAAUAUAUAUAUAUAUAUAUGUAUGGUAUGUCAGUAGUAAAUGCUUAACAAGCAAACAGGGCAAAGAGACCUAGAGAGUUUAAUAAAAAGUCAAAGUAAAUUUCACUGACAUAAAACCAGAAAAAUAGUGCUUGUAGAUACUUUUUCAGGAAUAGAUAGAAGCUUUCCUCACCAAAUGAGAGACGGCCUCUACAAUCAUCAAGCAGACAACGGCCCUACUUUUGUUGCCAAGGCUAAAAGACCUACAGGUGAUACAGAAAGAAAUCUGCUCACAGCUGACAGCAGCCUAUGCCCGGGGACCCCUGAGACAUCUCAUCAGUUCCAGGUCGGAGACUGUAGCUACAUACAAUGACACGGAGCCCAGACACUCGAUAAAAAGGAUCGUACCUGGUGCUGCUGACCACCCUGACAGCCGUCAAUUCUCAGCCCUCACCAGCUGCAUACUAGCUGUUGGGGCUGAGAGGUGAGAGCUAGAGGGACACUCAGAUCUUCAAAAGGCUCCCUAGACUUACACAUCAGAUAAGUGACUGAGAGACUGUUAUAAUGCUCACUUAAAGAGUGUGCUUUAAAAACAAGAAUUUCAUGUUUGCCCUGGGUUCCAUCGAGAAAAAUAUAGAGAUAUGCUUAAUUUCUAUUACAAAUGAUAUAACAUUACAUAUGUUAAUACAUCUUGAUAUCAGAAUUCUAAGAUUAGAAUUACUUAGUAGAAGAAGAGGGGAAUGAAGGACCCCAGCCUAAUAGCAGUAACAGAAAGACCCCAGCCUAGCAGUAGUAAUGCCAUUUUACAAGGCUAUAUUUAGGAAGACUGGUUCAGGGAAAGGUCAGAACACCGAGUACACAGCGGCUGCCAUGCAGGAUAUGUGUGGAGAGCCUAGCGACAGGAUGAUUGUGGUUGAGCGCCUGACAAUGAGAAAGAAAUGUAGAAAGCCCCGGGAGAGGUCCCACACCCUGGUGGGAGGCCGAGUCAGCCAUUAUGUUCCAAGAACACACUAUAGAGAACUUCCCCCCGGGCUGACCCCUGUAACCAUGCAUCUGCUUCUGUAUGCUUGCUUCUGCUUCCCAGAACCCUAUAAAAAGCCCAUCCUUGGUUCUGCUAGGUGUGUCAGUCUUCUGAAUUGACUGAGACGCCCACAGAUAUCUGUGUAUCUUGAUCAAUAAAAAUCCUCUUGC